GACGGAGGGGGCAAGCGUUGUCCGGAAUCACUGGGCGUAAAGCGCACGUAGGCGGGACGGUGCGUCGGUGCUGAAAGCGCCAGGCUUAACCUGGCGAGGCGUGCCGAUACGACCGACCUCGAGGCAGACAGAGGGUGGCGGAAUUCCGGGUGUAGUGGUGAAAUGCGUAGAGAUCCGGAGGAACGCCGGUGGCGCAAGCGGCCAGCUGGGUCUGACCUGACGCUGAGGUGCGAAAGCUAGGGGAGCAAACGGG
rnacentral:rRNA from 1 species